UAUUAUUUUAGAUGUAAAUUAUUUAAACUUGAGUAGUAGUAGUUAAGAUCUUGAAACUUAAAGAAUUUGGCGGUAUUUUAGUCUAUUUAGAGGAAUCUGUUCCGUAAUCGAUAAUCCGCGUUGGACCUUACUUGAUUUAUUUAGUAUGUAUACCGCCGUUGUUGAAAAUCUUUACAGAGUUUUGCAAUUUUUAUAAUAUUUAUUAUAUAAUUUUUCAGGUCAAGGUGCAGUUUAUAAUCAAGUGGUGAUGGAUUACAAUAUUUUUAGGUAUAUGAAUUUUUACUUUUAAUUUAGUAAAAUGAAAGUGGAUUUAAUAGUAAUAUUAUGAAGAUUGUUAAUGUGAUUUUAGCUCUAAAAUAUGUACACAUCGCCC
rnacentral:rRNA from 1 species